GCUCAGAACGAACGCUGGCGGCGUGCUUACACAUGCAAGUCGAACGAACCUUCGGGUUAGUGGCGGACGGGUGAGUAACGCGUGAGAAUCUGCCCUCAGGAGGGGGAUAACGGUUGGAAACGACCGCUAAUACCCCAUAUGCCGAGAGGUGAAAAGAAAUUCGCCUGAGGAUGAGCUCGCGUCUGAUUAGCUAGUUGGUGUGGUAAUGGCGCACCAAGGCUUCGAUCAGUAGCUGGUCUGAGAGGAUGAUCAGCCACACUGGGACUGAGACACGGCCCAGACUCCUACGGGAGGCAGCAGUGGG
rnacentral:rRNA from 1 species